CUGAAUUGUCAACACGAGUUGUUGCUGGUCCUCAAAUGGGGGCAUGUGCACGCUCUGUUUGUACAUCCACUCACACCUGUGCACCUUCUGUGGUUCUGUGGCCUGGGGGACUCUGUCCUUCUGCCGUGGUUCUGCAUCUUUACACACACACACUGUAAUGAAGUCUUAUGGAAUGUAUACCGCGUUUAACGCAAUACAAUACAACUUUCAGCAACGGAUCUCUUGGCUCUCGCAUCGAUGAAGAACGCAGCGAAAUGCGAUAAGUAAUGUGAAUUGCAGAAUUCAGUGAAUCAUCGAAUCUUUGAACGCACCUUGCGCCCUUUGGCUAUUCCGAUGGGCAUGCCUGUUUGAGUAUCAUGAACACCUCAACUCUCGUGGUUUGCCAUGAUGAGCUUGGACUUUGGAGGGUCUUGCUGGCCUAUCGUCGGCUCCUCUGAAAUGAAUCAGCUUACCAGUGUUUGGUGGCAUACACGGGUGUGAUAACUAUCUACGCUUGUAGUCUUGUCCCAGGUAACCUUCAGCGAUGGAGGUUCACUGGAGCUCAUAAACGUCUCUCCUCAGCGAGGGCAGCUCUUUGAACA
rnacentral:sRNA from 1 species